GAUGAACGCUGGCGGCGUGCCUAAUACAUGCAAGUCGAGCGAACGGACGAGAAGCUUGCUUCUCUGAUGUUAGCGGCGGACGGGUGAGUAACACGUGGAUAACCUACCUCUAAUACUGGGAUAACUUCGGGAAACAGUAGCUACUACCGGAUCAUAUUUUGUACCGCAUGGUUCAAAAGUGAAUGACACUCUUGCUGUCACAUAUAGAUGGAUCCGCGCUGCAUUAGCUAGUUGGUAAGGUAACGGCUUACCAAGGCAACGAUGCGUAGCCGAUCUGAGAGGGUGAUCGGCCACACUGGAACUGAGACACGGUCCAGACUCCUACGGGAGGCAGCAGUAGGGAAUCUUCCGCAAUGGGCGAAAGCCUGACGGAGCAACGCCGCGUGAGUGAUGAAGGUCUUCGGAUCGUAAAACUCUGUUAUUAGGGAAGAACAUAUGUGUAAGUAACUGUGCACAUCUUGACGGUACCUAAUCAGAAAGCCACGGCUAACUACGUG
rnacentral:rRNA from 1 species